GAUGAACGCUGGCGGCGUGCCUAAUACAUGCAAGUAGAACGCUGAAGGAGGAGCUUGCUCUUCUGGAUGAGUUGCGAACGGGUGAGUAACGCGUAGGUAACCUGCCUGGUAGCGGGGGAUAACUAUUGGAAACGAUAGCUAAUACCGCAUGACAACAGUUCUUGCAUGAUAACUGUUUAAAAGGGGCAACUGCUCCACUACCAGAUGGACCUGCGUUGUAUUAGCUAGUUGGUGAGGUAACGGCUCACCAAGGCGACGAUACAUAGCCGACCUGAGAGGGUUGUCGGCCAAACUGGGACUGAGACACGGCCCAGACUUCUACGGGAGGGAGCAGUAGGGAAUCUUCGGAAAUGGACGGAAGGCUGACCGAGCAACGCCGCGUGAGUGAAGAAGGGUUUCGGAUCGGAAAGCUCUGUUGUAAGAGAAGAAAGAGUGUGAGAGUGGAAAGUUCACACUGUGACGGUAUCUUACCAGAAAGGGACGGCUAACUACGUG
rnacentral:rRNA from 1 species